UUCUUAUCAAGAGUGACGGAGGGAUAGGCCCUAUGAAGUCCGGCAACAUCCAAUUAUUUUGGAGAUGUGCUAAUUCCUACAGGUUUAUCCUGAGAGAUGAGAA
rnacentral:ncRNA from 2 species